UUGUUUUUUCUGAGAAUUAUUACAUGUGUUGUCUUCUUUAGCCACUUUUUUUUUGGGGGGAAGGGGAGUGUUAAGAAGAAAUUGUACAAUGAUUGGGUUGUAAGUUGUAAUUGUAGGAAAUGUGAACAUUCCCCGAUGAACUAUCAAAAACAUGAGUGAGGGAAGAUAAACAAGGUUUUGCUUUGUCUACACUUUUUGUAUUUAGAGAGGUUGGACAGUUUCUUUGAUUCUGAUUGUAUUAUGCAAAAGAUACAUAUGAUGUGCCAAUUUCGAAGAUUUGCUUUCACUUUUUGAAAAUUUGUUGUCUUGUUCCUCUGUUGAAGGAACCUGAAUCGAAUUUAAUUUUUGCAGGUGUAAUUUAAUUCUUGCAGGUUCAUCAUGCUCGGUGUUUCUAUGAAAAUUUGGUGCCAAGUUACACUAUUUAUGAGGUUGAGUGCCCAGACCACUUGUUUCGUAAAUUCACUGAUGAUGGACAGUACCUUAUAAGUUUCAGCAGAAAUUAUCAGGAGCUGAUCGUUUAUAGGCCCAGAUGGCUUUCGUUUUCAUGCAAAGAUGAAGAUUGCGAUAAACAUGAUUUGCCAUCUAGAGCUAAAAGAUUUGACAGUUUUUUCACCCAACUAUAUUGUGUACCACUUGCUUCUUGUAAUGAGCUUAUAUGUAAAGAUUUCUUUCUUUACUUGGAGAGCCAGCAAUUUGGACUGUUUGCUACUUCAACGCCUGCCCAAGUUUCUGAUGCACCUGCUGUAGGAGGAGCUGUCCAUGGUGUUCCUUCAAUUGAAAAGAUAACUUUCCACCUCUUGAGGUGCGUAUUCAUCAUUCUUUAUAUUCAUUUUUUUUUCCUGAUCUUCAACAUAACAAGACCAAUCAAUCAUACUCUGAUCAUUCUGGGUACCUGUUGAAAUAGACUGGAAGAUGGAGAGAUCUUGGACAAGAAGGUCUUCUGUAACGACUUUGUUAAUUUAACCCAUAAUACGGGUGUCUUCUUGUAUGAUGACCUAUUGGCAAUUGUAUCACUUCGCUAUCAAACUAUACAUGUUCUUCAGAUAAGAGAUGCUGGUAACCUUGUUGAUGUACGGGCUAUUGGGGAAUUCUGCCGUGAAGAUGACCAGCUUUUUCUCAAUUCCAAUGCUCAGGUCAGCAAGNUUUUUAUAAAUAUUUCAUUAACAUAAUAUUAAAAAUAUUAAUUUUGUAGAGAUAACUUUUCUGACAUGAAAAAUUCGUUUCUUCGUUUCCAGGGUGAACCUUUACGGUUUGUGGACACGCUUUAAUGUACAGAAGCAGCAAUAUUGUGGCUAGGAUUUUUAAUCGUCAGAUUUGCACUCCUCCUCCUGGCACUAGUGUAAUUUAUUUUCACUACCAAUAAUAUUUGUUGUUGUUUUUUCUGAGAAUUAUUACAUGUGUUGUCUUCUUUAGCCACUUUUUAGGGUUUAGGGGGGGGGGGGGGAGUGUUAAGAAGAAAUGGUACAGGGUUGUAAGUUGUAAUUGUAGGAAAUGUGAACAUUCCCCGGUGAACUAUCAAAAACAUGAUUGAGGGAAGAUAAACAAGGUUUUGCUUUGUCUACACUUUUUGUAUUUAGAGAGGUUGGACAGUUUCUUUGAUUCUGGUUGUAUUAUGCAGUGUCAAGUAUAACCUGAUGUUUUUAAAGUUGAAGCUUGAAAUGCAAAAGAUAAAUAUGAUGUGCCAAUUUGGAAGAUUUGCUUUCACUUUUUGAAAUUUGUUGUCUUGUUCCUCUGUUGAAGGAACCUGAAUCGAAUUUAAUUUUUGCAGGUGUAAUUUAAUUCUUGCAGGUUCAUCAUGCUCGGUGUUUCUAUGAAAAUUUGGUGCCAAGUUACACUAUUUAUGAGGUUGAGUGCCCAGACCACUUGUUUCGUAAAUUCACUGAUGAUGGACAGUACCUUAUAAGUUUCAGCAGAAAUUAUCAGGAGCUGAUCGUUUAUAGGCCCAGAUGGCUUUCGUUUUCAUGCAAAGAUGAAGAUUGCGAUAAACAUGAUUUGCCAUCUAGAGCUAAAAGAUUUGACAGUUUUUUCACCCAACUAUAUUGUGU
rnacentral:lncRNA from 1 species